rnacentral:rRNA from 1 species
ACGGGUGAGUAACACGUAUCCAACCUGCCGUCUACUCUUGGACAGCCUUCUGAAAGAAAGAUUAAUACAAGAUGGCAUCAUGAGUCCGCAUGUUCACAUGAUUAAAGGUAUUCCGGUAGACGAUGGGGAUGCGUUCCAUUAGAUAGUAGGCGGGGUAACGGCCCACCUAGUCUUCGAUGGAUAGGGGUUCUGAGAGGAAGGUCCCCCACAUUGGAACUGAGACACGGUCCAA